GCCCACAGGGAGGACUGGGGUAAUUAGCAGAAGACUGUGCCUCCACCCUGUGGCAGUUCAUGAAGCCUUUUAGCCCGACAGGAACAUCUUCCCGAAAUAACAUAAAGGAAAUGGAAAACAAAACUUUGACCCGGAGCCCAGCCAGCCACAGUCUUAAAUGGUACAAGGAUACGACCUUCCCAAAAGAACUUAAACAGGGAAACAAAGACCAAACCCUGACCAAGAACCAGCUCAAUUAUGCCUAUAAAAGUAAUACUCCAAUAAAGACAGACUAUAGGACCUCAUCUAAGGGUGGAGGUUUUCCAAAUCGCUCAUGGACACGUUACAAUCAACAGGAUUCAGUUCAACCCUCACCAGACUAUCAACAACUAUCAAUCAAGAUGACUCAGUAAUAACCAAUGAUUUUUUCAAAUGUUUUUUCCAGUUAUAUUUUUUAUCUGCAUAUUACUUCCUGCAUAUAUGUUGUGUAUAUUUUAGUUGUAUUAUAUGUACUAUAUGAUUUGGCAACAACAGGACUUAAAAGUACUCUGAUAAUUAUUAUUUAUUUAUUUUUAUUUUAUUUUUUUUUUUUGCUUUUUUUCAGUUAAUUGCAGUAUUUCUGAAAGCAAUGCUUUAAUUGUAAUUAUCCAUAUUGAUGAGAAUAUAUGUUAUAUUUUCCUAUUUUGUAUUCCUCUCAUUACCAAAAUGUAUAGAAUUAAUAUAACUCUUUGGUCUUUCUUCUUGUUAAAAUAAUAAAUAAAUAAAUAAAUAAAUAAAACUGUUUCCA
ensembl:lncRNA